UACAGAGGGUGCAAACGUUGCUCGGAAUUAUUGGGCGUAAAGCGCGUGUAGGCGGCUUGUUAAGUCUGAUGUGAAAGCCCUGGGCUCAACCCAGGAAGUGCAUUGGAUACUGGGGGACUUGAAUACGGGAGAGGGUAGUGGAAUUCCUAGUGUAGGAGUGAAAUCCGUAGAUAUUAGGAGGAACACCGGUGGCGAGGGCGGCUACCUGGACCGAUAUUGACGCUGAGACGCGAAAGCGUGGGGAGCAAACAGG
rnacentral:rRNA from 1 species